rnacentral:tRNA from 1 species
UCGUCGGCUGGUCCACGACGGGCGGACGGACCAUCUUGAACAUGGUCGUGGGCUGGUCGACCGGCUCGUCGUCCGGCUCGUCGUCCUCGGA